rnacentral:rRNA from 1 species
AACGUAGGUGGCGAGCGUUAUCCGGAUUUACUGGGCGUAAAGGGUGUGCAGGCGGUCCGACACGUUUUGUGUGACAGCGGGUGGCUUAACUACCCGAGGAUACGAAAGACGGUUGGACUUGAGGACUCGAGAGGGACACGGAAUUCCGGGUGGAGUGGUGAAAUGCGUAGAGAUCCGGAGGAACACCGAAGGCGAAGGCAGUGUCCUGGCGAGUGACUGACGCUGAGGUGCGAAAGCCAGGGGAGCGAACGGG